rnacentral:rRNA from 2 species
UGGGGAAUAUUGGACAAUGGGCGCAAGCCUGAUCCAGCCAUGCCGCGUGAGUGAUGACGGCCUUAGGGUUGUAAAGCUCUUUUACCUGGGAAGAUAAUGACGGUACCAGGAGAAUAAGCCCCGGCUAACUUCGUGCCAGCAGCCGCGGUAAUACGAAGGGGGCUAGCGUUGUUCGGAUUUACUGGGCGUAAAGGGCGCGUAGGCGGGCGAUUAAGUCAGGGGUGAAAUCCCACAGCUCAACUGUGGAACUGCCUUUGAUACUGAUUGUCUUGAGUCCGGGAGAGGUGAGUGGAACUGCGAGUGUAGAGGUGAAAUUCGUAGAUAUUCGCAAGAACACCAGUGGCGAAGGCGGCUCACUGGCCCGGAACUGACGCUGAGGCGCGAAAGCGUGGGGAGCAAACAGG